AUCCAGCUGACGAGUCCCAAGUAGGACUAAACACGCGUCCUGGAU
rnacentral:hammerhead_ribozyme from 1 species